UAGUGGAAGCGUCUGGAAAGUCGCACGGUACAGGGUGAUAGUCCCGUACACAAAAAUGCAUAUGUUGUGAGUUCGAUGAGUAGGGCGGGACACGUGACAUCCUGUCUGAAUAUGGGGGGACCAUCCUCCAAGGCUAAAUACUCCUGACUGACCGAUAGUGAACCAGUACCGUGAGGGAAAGGCGAAAAGAACCCCGGCGAGGGGAGUGAAAUAGAACCUGAAACCGUGUACGUACAAGCAGUGGGAGCACCUUCGUGGUGUGACUGCGUACCUUUUGUAUAAUGGGUCAGCGACUUAUAUUUUGUAGCAAGGUUAACCGAAUAGGGGAGCCGUAGGGAAACCGAGUCUUAACUGGGCGAAUAGUUGCAAGGUAUAGACCCGAAACCCGGUGAUCUAGCCAUGGGCAGGUUGAAGGUUGGGUAACACUAACUGGAGGACCGAACCGACUAAUGUUGAAAAAUUAGCGGAUGACUUGUGGCUGGGGGUGAAAGGCCAAUCAAACCGGGAGAUAGCUGGUUCUCCCCGAAAGCUAUUUAGGUAGCGCCUCGUGAACUCAUCUUCGGGGGUAGAGCACUGUUUCGGCUAGGGGGUCAUCCCGACUUACCAAACCGAUGCAAACUCCGAAUACCGAAGAAUGUUAUCACGGGAGACACACGGCGGGUGCUAACGUCCGUCGUGAAGAGGGAAACAACCCAGACCGCCAGCUAAGGUCCCAAAGUCAUGGUUAAGUGGGAAACGAUGUGGGAAGGCAUAGACAGCCAGGAUGUUGGCUUAGAAGCAGCCAUCAUUUAAAGAAAGCGUAAUAGCUCACUGGUCGAGUCGGCCUGCGCGGAAGAUGUAACGGGGCUAAACCAUG
rnacentral:rRNA from 1 species